AGCGGGAAAAGCUCAAAUUUGUAAUCUGGCGCUUUCGGCGUCCGAGUUGUAAUCUCGAGAAGUGUUUUCCGCGUCAGACCGCACACAAGUCUCCUGGAACGGAGCGUCACAGUGGUGAGAACCCAGUACACGGUGCGGAUGCCUGAUGCUUUGUGAUACACUUUCGAAGAGUCGAGUUGUUUGGGAAUGCAGCUCAAAUUGGGUGGUAAAUUCCAUCUAAAGCUAAAUAUUGGCGAGAGACCGAUAGCGAACAAGUACCGUGAGGGAAAGAUGAAAAGCACUUUGGAAAGAGAGUUAACAGUACGUGAAAUUGUUGGAAGGGAAACGCUUGAAGUCAGACUUGCUAUUCGGAGCUUGCUUCGAUUCGCAGGCCCGCAUCAGUUUUCCGGGGCGGAAAAUCGUAAGGAGAAGGUAGCAGUUUCGGCUGUGUUAUAGCUCUUUACUGGAUUCGUCCUGGGGGACUGAGGAACGCAGCGUGCUUUUUGCAUGGGCUUCGGCCCAUCCACGCUUAGGAUGCGGGUGGAAUGGCUUUAAACGACCCGUCUUGA
rnacentral:rRNA from 1 species